rnacentral:rRNA from 1 species
GACGAACGCAGGCGGCGUGCUUAACACAUGCAAGUCGAACGGAAAGGCCCUGCUUUUGUGGGGUGCUCGAGUGGCGAACGGGUGAGUAACACGUGAGUAACCUGCCCUUGGCUUUGGGAUAACUUCAGGAAACUGGGGCUAAUACCGGAUAGGAGCUCCUGCUGCAUGGUGGGGGUUGGAAAGUUUCGGCGGUUGGGGAUGGACUCGCGGCUUAUCAGCUUGUUGGUGGGGUAGUGGCUUACCAAGGCUUUGACGGGUAGCCGGCCUGAGAGGGUGACCGGCCACAUUGGGACUGAGAUACGGCCCAGACUCCUACGGGAGGCAGCAGUGGGGAAUAUUGCACAAUGGGCGGAAGCCUGAUGCAGCAACGCCGCGUGCGGGAUGACGGCCUUCGGGUUGUAAACCGCUUUCGCCUGUGACGAAGCGUGAGUGACGGUAAUGGGUAAAGAAGCACCGGCUAACUACGUG